rnacentral:rRNA from 1 species
AUUGAACGCUGGCGGCAGGCCUAACACAUGCAAGUCGAGCGAGCGGCGGACGGGUGAGUAAUGUCUGGGAAACUGCCUGAUGGAGGGGGAUAACUACUGGAAACGGUAGCUAAUACCGCAUACCAUCAGAUGUGCCCAGAUGGGAUUAGCUAGUAGGUGGGGUAACGGCUCACCUAGGCGACGAUCCCUAGCUGGUCUGAGGGGAUGACCAGCCACCCUGGAACGUGAACACGGUCCAGACGCCUACGGAGGGCGGCAGAGGGGAAUAUUGCACAAUGGGCGCAGGCCUGAUGCAGCCAUGCCGCGUGUGUGAAGAAGGCCUUCGGGUUGUAAAGCACUUUCAGCGGGGAGGCGUUACCCGCAGAAGAAGCACCGACUAACUCCGUGCCAGCAGCCGCGGUAAUAC